UAUAUUUUAUAUUUUGUUAAUAUCUAUAUUUUAUAUUUUAAGAUAUAUGUUUAAAUUUUAAUGUAUUUUUCCAUUUUUAAUGUAAAACGGCAAUGUUUAAUAGAAGAACUGGACAAAUUGUCAAAUAGUCAUAUUUAUGUUUUUUUUCUUUUUUUAUAAAAUGGUAAUGUUACAUUAUGGAGAUAUACCGGUUUUUUUUGUGAAAAAAUGGUAAUCUUACAUAUGUUUAAUGUUGUUUUUCCAUUUUUUAUGUUGUAUGUUUACAUAUUAUAUAUAAUGUUUUUUGACGUUUUUUAUAAAACGGUAAUGUUACAUUAUGGAGAUAAGCCGUCUUUUUUUCAAGUGAAAAAUGGUAAUCUUACCUAUGUUUAAUGUAGUUUUUUAAUUUUUUAUGCUGUAUGUUUAAAUAUUAUUUAUAAUUUUCGAAAAUUAGUAAUAUUAAAAUGUAAAACUAUAUUUUAUGCCACGUGUCAUCUUUCGGAAGAAGUUUUUUUUGCUUAUGUGGACGCUCUAUGGAACCUCAAGGUUAUAUAGCAAAUUACAUGAGUUUAUGGGUGUAUCUACGCCAAUUACUCUAUAUUUAAUGUAGUAUUUCUAUUUUUUAUGUUGUAUGUUUACAUAUAUUUAUUAUUUUCGAAAUUAUAUAUAAUGUUUUUUGUUUUUUUUAUAAAACGGUAGUAUUACAUUAUGGAAUUAAGCCGUCUUUUUUUUAAAGUGAAAAAUGGUAAUUUUACAUAUGUUCAAUGUAGUUUUUCUAUUUUUUAUGUUGUAUGUUUCAUAUUAUUUAUAAUUUUUGAAAAUUAGUAAUAUUAAAAUGUAAAACUAUAUUUUAUGCCACGUGUCAUCUUUCGGGAGAAUUUUUUUUCGCUGAUAUGGACGCUCUAUGGAGCCUCAAAAGGUCCCUUUUAUUGGUAAUAUUACAUUAUGGAAUUAAGCCGUCUUUUUUUUAAAGUGAAAAAUGGUAAUUUUACAUAUGUUCAAUGUAGUUUUUCUAUUUUUUAUGUUGUAUGUUUCAUAUUAUUUAUAAUUUUUGAAAACUAGUAAUAUUAAAAUGUAAAACUAUAUUUUAUGCCACGUGUCAUCUUUCGGGAGAAUUUUUUUCGCUGAUGUGGACGCUCUAUGGAGCUUCAAAAGGUCCCUUUUAUUAGUAUUUUUGACGUUUUUUAUAAAACGGUAAUGUUACAUUAUGGAGAUAAGCCGUCUUUUUUUUCAAGUGAAAAAUGGUAAUCUUACCUAUGUUUAAUGUAGUUUUUUAAUUUUUUAUGCUGUAUGUUUAAAUAUUAUUUAUAAUUUUCGAAAAUUAGUAAUAUUAAAAUGUAAAACUAUAUUUUAUGCCACGUGUCAUCUUUCGGAAGAAGUUUUUUUUGCUUAUGUGGACGCUCUAUGGAGCCUCAAGGUUAUAUAGCAAAUUACAUGAGUUUAUGGGUGUAUCUACGCCAAUUACUCUAUAUUUAAUGUAGUAUUUCUAUUUUUUAUGUUGUAUGUUUACAUAUAUUUAUUAUUUUCGAAAUUAUAUAUAAUGUUUUUUGUUUUUUUUAUAAAACGGUAGUAUUACAUUAUGGAAUUAAGCCGUCUUUUUUUUAAAAUGAAAAAUGGUAAUUUUACAUAUGUUCAAUGUAGUUUUUCUAUUUUUUAUGUUGUAUGUUUCAUAUUAUUUAUAAUUUUUGAAAAUUAGUAAUAUGAAAAUGUAAAACUAUAUUUUAUGCCACGUGUCAUCUUUCGGGAGAAUUUUUUUUCGCUGAUAUGGACGCUCUAUGGAGCCUCAAAAGGUCCCUUUUAUUGGUAAUAUUACAUUAUGGAAUUAAGCCGUCUUUUUUUUAAAGUGAAAAAUGGUAAUUUUACAUAUGUUCAAUGUAGUUUUUCUAUUUUUUAUGUUGUAUGUUUCAUAUUAUUUAUAAUUUUUGAAAACUAGUAAUAUUAAAAUGUAAAACUAUAUUUUAUGCCACGUGUCAUCUUUCGGGAGAAUUUUUUUCGCUGAUGUGGACGCUCUAU
rnacentral:lncRNA from 1 species